rnacentral:rRNA from 1 species
UACGGAGGGGGCUAGCGUUGUUCGGAAUUACUGGGCGUAAAGCGCACGUAGGCGGCUUUGCAAGUCAGAGGUGAAAGCCCGGGGCUCAACCCCGGAAUUGCCUUUGAGACUGCAUCGCUAGAAUUGUGGAGAGGUAAGUGGAAUUCCAGGUGUAGUGGUGAAAUACGUAGAUAUCUGGAGGAACACCGGUGGCGAAGGCGGCGAUCUGGCCCAACACUGACACUGAGACCCAAAAGCGUGGGGAUCAAACAGG